CCUACGGGGUGCAGCAGUGGGGAAUAUUGGACAAUGGGCGAAAGCCUGAUCCAGCCAUGCCGCGUGUGUGAAGAAGGCCUUCGGGUUGUAAAGCACUUUCAGUGGGGAAGAAAGCCUUGGGGCUAAUACCCUCGAGGAAGGACAUCACCCACAGUAGAAGCACCGGCUAACUCCGUGCCAGCAGCCGCGGUAAUACGGAGGGUGCGAGCGUUAAUCGGAAUUACUGGGCGUAAAGCGCGCGUAGGCGGUCUGAUAAGCCGGUUGUGAAAGCCCCGGGCUCAACCUGGGAACGGCAUCCGGAACUGUCAGGCUAGAGUGCAGGAGAGGAAGGUAGAAUUCCUGGUGUAGCGGUGAAAUGCGUAGAGAUCGGGAGGAAUACCAGUGGCGAAGGCGGCCUUCUGGACUGACACUGACGCUGAGGUGCGAAAGCGUGGGUAGCAAACAGGAUUAGAUACCCGUGUAGUC
rnacentral:rRNA from 1 species